rnacentral:rRNA from 1 species
UACGUAGGGUGCGAGCGUUAAUCGGAAUUACUGGGCGUAAAGCGUGCGCAGGCGGCUUUGCAAGACAGGCGUGAAAUCCCCGGGCUUAACCUGGGAAUGGCGCUUGUGACUGCAAAGCUGGAGUGCGGCAGAGGGGGAUGGAAUUCCGCGUGUAGCAGUGAAAUGCGUAGAUAUGCGGAGGAACACCAAUGGCGAAGGCAAUCCCCUGGGCCUGUACUGACGCUCAUGCACGAAAGCGUGGGGAGCAAACAGG